GUAGUAGAGGGUAUUGGUGUAGGUUU
rnacentral:piRNA from 1 species